ACUUACGGCUAUAUCACGUUGAAAGCACCGGUUCUCGUCUGGUCACCGAAGUUGAACAACUUCGAGCCUAGUGAGUACUUAGAUGGGUGACCGAUUGAGAAACUUAGGUGAUGUAAGCG
rnacentral:rRNA from 1 species